UGGGCGCGUAGCUCAGUGGGAGAGCACUAUCUUGACGCGGUAGGGGUCGGUGGUUCAAUCCCACCCGCGCCCACCAU
rnacentral:tRNA from 1 species